ensembl:rRNA 5S_rRNA 5S ribosomal RNA
AUUCUCCACCAUACCACCCAGAAUGGCCUGAUCUCAUCUGAUUUCAGGAACUAAAUAAGAGUCAGGCCUGGACAUGAGGCCUCCAGGAAUACCGGGGGUCUCCAGGAAGGAGAGAAAC